rnacentral:misc_RNA from 1 species
GGAACGAGCACGCAGCAAUCGAACAGCAUCGUCAGUCCCUCACGGUGAGCCGGUUCAGUCGGUUAUCUUCGUUCGUCUCCGUUGUUUCGAACAGUCGUUCUCGUAGGUGGCUGCGUACACGUUCCUCUGUCUCUCUCUCUUUUUCACUCGUGUCGAACAAAAGUCCCUCAGUGUUUGUAACCCCCUCGUGUUAUCUACACACAUCGCGGACGAUCAGUGCGUACGAUUUUGUUGGUGGACAAACAUCAUCGACGACGAGGCUGUUCAGUUUGUGGAUUUCUACCCUCUGCAUCCCUGUGGAUUACUCGGCGUCCCGCAACGGGAUCUUCUCUAUAAGGGACGAGGCGUAGGAUGGGCCCGACCGUGCGAGGAGUCGUGCUACACUGAAGAGGAGGUGCUCCCCUGAAAAAGAGAGAAAAGGAGGAAGGAACGAAGGAUGCCUGCCUCGCAAUCCGCCGCCACAGAGCGGCGAAACGAGAGGAUGAUCACACACGAGCCACCAAAAUUAAAGACAACCCUGAAAACGCCUCCUAAACAAGCGACCAAUCCUCUUCAAUUCGUUAAAGUUGGACCGUGCUCGUUGUAUCGUACUGCUCAGGAACAGUUGCAAAAGGUUCAGGAAGUGAAAAAGAUAAAACAGGAAGUCCGCGAUGAUCCUGAAGAUUGGCAAUCGAAUUUGGACAACUGGAAGAGCAGUCGAAGGAAGCGUCAGGAACACAUAAUCGAGCGGGUGGUCGAGGUGAAGAAACUCGAGCUGGAGGAACACGAUCGGCAGCGUCGUCGAAGCAAGACUUUCUCAGAAAUGAUGGAAGAGAGGGGCAAUAGGGGUCGCAAACUGAGCAUCAGCUUGGCCAUGUACCACGAAGAAGAUGCCAAUGACCUGAGCGACCUUGGUAUAGGAACCAGCAGCGGAAAGAGCUCGGUUAGCGGCGACACACACGAUGACACACACAGUGUCUUGAGCGACAGAGACAGCGAGAUAGAGAAGAAUCACUCGGACGUGGACAACGUGGCAAGCGAAAGCGUGAUCGGCAGCGACAUCACGACAUCAUCGACGACCACGACAGCAACAACGACUACGAUGACGAAGAAACCGUUCGGGAACGGCUUCCACAGCAACCAUAAUCACAACAACCAAGAGUACGAUUCGGCGACCACAGCGACGACCAGUUCUCCCGAACCCGAAGAAUACACAUACGAGGGUGCGAUUCGAGGUUACGUAUCUCGAGUAUCGCAGAACAUACCAAGGCGAUCAUUAGCCAGCCUGGACGCAAAAUUAGACAGUUCAAAAUCAUCAGCGAACGGUUCAAAGACGAGUCUAAACGACGAAGGCAAGUGUACCAAUGUACCGGUAGUGAAAGUGGACAUCCUGAAGAGGCGAGAGAUCUUCGAGAAGGCGUCGCAGAAGAGUAGCGAGAGCAAAGCGAACAACAGGCUCUCCGGCGAUUUCACUGGCACGAAAUCGAUCAAGGAAAGGCUGUCGAACCUGGAGAAGCAGAAACACGACGCGGAGAACAACGACAAGACCGGAAAAGCGCUGAGUAGACUAUCCGGAGACAUGAGCUCGAUCCGCGAGCGAUUAUCGCACCUUGAGAAGCAAGCGUCCGAAAGAGAGAGCAAGAGCUCCACGCAUCGCAAGCUGAGUACCGAAGAGCUAGAGACAGUUAGACCACUCAGAGAAAGACUGUCCACGCUGGAAAAAUACAGCAGCAGCGACGAAUCUGCACCAGGUACCGCUCACGAGUCCCGACACAACGGCGAGCUGUCAGCCAGGUCCAUAAAAGAUCGCCUGAAUGCUCUGGAUGCGGCCAGGAGCAAGGAAGCCGCGGAUAAGAGAUCCUCCGUAGGAAAGCACUCCCUGUGCUUCCGGGACCAGGAGAACAGAAUCGACACAUCGACACCUAGCGAGAGAAGCUCCUCCCCUGAUUCAGAAUAUCGAGUGCCCAGGGCAGCCUUCCACAGAAGCCUGGACUCCCUGGACGCGGACGCCUCCAGUGGCCCCGAUACUUUCGAGCGUGUGCAGAGUCUGGAAGAACUCGAUUACGGCAGACGUUAUCCGGCAUCAUCCUCGUCCGCUGAACUGUUGAAUGAUACCGAUCGAGAGGAUUCGGGCAUUCACACGGCCGAUGUCAGCUGCUCCGUCAGCCAGGCGGAUGAACCCGUGGACGAGGACAUCGUGCAUGCCAGCACGAUUAUCGACAGACAACAGGAAGCGAUCCAAGAGACACCGGAAGAACCUCGUGACGUCGAGACAGUCAACGAGACUGUCUCCGAACAGUGCACCGCUGGGUCCGUGAACGACAUUUCGACUUCUGCCAGUCAACCGGAAGCAGUAGUAGCAAAGAAGGGUACUGCUGACACUUCUGGGGAACUGUCGACUAACAAAUCACAAUCGCAGGCACACGCAGAGGUUACUAACUCAAGUACACUUCGUCCUUGUCCUGCUACGAGUCGCCCGAUCGUGUAUCAAAGUCCCAAAGUACCUCCUCGAAGAACACCUCCCGAAACGCUUCCCAAACCAAAGUUACCCGUCUCCAAAGAGCAGAUUGAAAGCAAACUGGACUCUCAACCUGCCAAGGAGUCUAACGCAGCAUCAAGCUCCGCAGUGGAGCAAGAUUCCAAAUGUAUUAUCGACGAAACGAACCAAAGCUCCUCCAACGAGGACUCAGCUAAAGUAACGACUUCUUCGCCAUCGCCGGACUCCGCCAUAGCAGACAGUUGUCUUCUGUCUCCUGUCAGGACGGCGAUGGUUCCGACGAACCUUCAACUAGAGUCAAACGCUACCUCGAGCUGUUCCUCCAAAGAAAUUCCGAAAACGACUCCAGUCACGUCUCCGCGCGCAGCCUCCAAGAUCCCCACUCCGCUUCCCAGAAAGACAAUAGGCGCUAAAUCAUCCCCGACGAGUUCCACGUCUUCCCUGAGUCCACCCAUCUCACCGUCCUCUCCCAAAACGCCAUCUUUAAAGACCAGGAGCAUGAAAAGUCCAACCGUUCAGCUAGCAUCCCCGCAGUUUCCAAAAGCAUCGGAGAUACCUGUCCCUGUGUCCUCUUGUGUACCUGUCUCCCCCUCCGCUUCAGAACAGUCAGCGAAACACGUAUCCAGCUCGAAACACCAGGUGAUGGGUGAAGAGACGCUGGCUACGGAAAGACGGCGAACGGUGGUGGAAAUUUGCGAGAAGGUGGUGGUGCCACGCGGAAAAACACCUACGACACCUCCGGUGACGCCGUUCAUCACGGUGGACCGCGUCGGCGAGAAGCAGACCGAGGAACCGAUCGUUAUCGAGAAGGCGAACGAAGAGGAGGCACCGGUUAUUUGCCAGACGAACCCGCCAGUCGACCACGAAGAGCACGAGGAAGAGGAAACACCAAUGAUCGAGACUUUUGAGCCACCACCGCGAAAAUCGACUGAACAGUCGAUCGAUGCACACGAUGCACCCGAGACCAACAUAUCGAAUGUCUCUGCUGUUGAAAGACCGACGACCUUGACCCUUGGCAAACAGGAAAUCGUCAUGAUGGACACCAUGAAUCUACUCAGCCCCGUGUCACCCAUCUCGAAACAGAUUUUACCACUGAAUUUGUCCAGUGACGAGGAAAUAGUCACAGGGCUAUCAUUUCCUCUGGGACCCCCAACCAGCGUGGAGCCACCAAAAGAAAAACCACCCCCGCCUCCAGUUGAUGUCAGCGACGAAGAAAAUCUUCCAAUAGAACCCUUGAAGAGAUUGAAUUCUACCCGUAGAAUAAAGAAAGAACUACGCACCAGACGCUCUGAUUUUCUUGGAAUCGAGGGGGUAAACGACGACGAACUGGAACGAGAGCUUACCCUAACAAAGCCCCCCGACAUGGCGGCAAUCCUCGCCGAGGAGAGACGCAUCGAACAACUUCAUCGUCGUUCGUACGACACUGACAGCAACUACGAGCAAGAUUCCAGUCACGAACGAGAUUCCGGGGUCGAAUUGGGCCACGCUGAAGACUGGACGAAACAACCGGUCAGCCCUGACAUGUCCCAACACAGCAGACAAAGCAGCGAGCCGUUCGGUGCAAGCGUCACUUCCUCCGAAGAAGAUGAAAUCACGAAGAAAGAAAGGGAAAUCAUCGAGGUGCUCGAGAAGGAGGAACAAUGGCGGUACGGGAACAAUCGUGAGAUGAACAGUGACUUGGGCGAAAAAUUGGCGCACAAGCUGCGCGAGCUCGAAGAGGAGAAGAUGCAGCUGGAGCGGGAACGGGCCCAGGAAACGGCCCUCCGUCGACAGGAAGAGACACUUCGCAAAAACGAGGACAACAUGCGUAAACAGGAGGAGACGUUGCGCAAACAGCAAGAGGAAGCGGCGAGGCUACAAGAAGCAGCACGCGCCGAAGCCGAAGCGAAACGCGCUGAAGAGAUGAGGCAGAAGGAGGAGGAGCUCAGGGUACAAGCGGAACAAUUGAGGAUUCAGAAUGAAAUCGAGGAGGAGAGGAGAAUUGCAGAUGCUCGUCGAAUCGAGGAGAAACGCAUCAGAGCUAUGGAGAAUCAAAUUCGCGAACAAGAGAACACAACAUUGAGUGGUGCUGGUUUGAACGACGAAGAAGACGAAUUUGCUUCUGGGGAAGUGCUCAGAGUGGAAAGAGAGUUGCUUCAGUUGGAACAGGAAGAAUUGAAACGUCAACGAAGCAAUCUAGCAUACCGCGAACAAAAGCAGCUCAAACUGGCAGAACAAUUACAGGAACAAUGGAAAUCUUUGCAAGACGUUGCACAUAGCUCCGCGAACAAUAUUCAACCGUUCAAAACCCAGCCACCAGUGAAUUAUAGGUCAUCGAUGCCGAAUCUUCAGCUUCAGGAUGUCCAAAGAAGAAGACCUCCACCUCCUCCGAUACCUCCUGCUAAACCAUUGCGUUUGAUUGAUCAAAGGCAAAGGGACGUCACUAUCAGGAACAGCAGAAUUCCGUCUGCGGACUCGAUUCCUCAACAAGUGGACGCAUCCUUGAGACACAGUGCAUCGGUUACGACACUUUCGAGUCAUGCUGGCCAACAGAUGACCAGACAAACGUUGCAAGCCCUUAGUGCAGUUCCUCGACCACGAAUUGUUCAAAGUGAUCAGUGGGUGCAACGAAGGAAAAGCGAUGUACCACGGGGUGCUCACGAUUUGAAUUAUCAGCAUUGGCUCAUUCAGGAAGCGGAGCAGAGAAGAAUUAGCGAAAAGAAUCAGCGAUCACCAGCCCGGAAAUCUCAGAUGCACGUAACUGGAACGUCAGUUCCUUAUGCUACUGCUCCAACGAGAACGGACAGUAAACCAUUACCUGAUUCAAUUAUACAAACUCUUACACAAAGAGUGCAAAACAGAGCGCAAGAGAAGCCUCUUCCGCCGAGAAGAAGAUUGGAGCACAGUACCAGUCAGGAACAUCUCUCCACGUUGCAACACCAGCCACAUGUUAUGCCACAACAAAAGUCUCAGCAACCACCACCGAUGAACACGGAGAAUCAAGAGAAAAUGUUGAGCGUCAGUGGUAAAAAGAAGUGUUCGCAUUGUGGAGAUGAAUUAGUGCUGCGUGUGUCAUGUGCGGCUCGGUGACGGACUAAUGGGAACAGACGUGCGUGUUCGGAAUCACAAGCUUCACUGCCAUAACUGCUACUCCAGUGACGACGGUGUCAAGUUCAGCUGCGUGUAAAACGAAACGGAACAACGGCUAAUGGAAGCACACUAACUUGAAUAUAGCAUCACGCGGCUAUAUUUUAUAAGUUAUAGUUGACCAUAUAGCUACACGUGACACGCGAAAGUGACACCGACAGAUUCUCUGUUAAAAUUCUGUACAUAACACUGUGACAGACAAAAGCAAACAAGAUCGAUGGUCAUACUAUGUCCUCGUUUUGUUACACAUCACUUUAAAACAUUUAAUAAGAUUUCAAAUAACGCCGAUUUCUUUUCGAUCGACUAACCGUUAGAUCGUGUAAAUAAACGUGUAUUUAUGUAAUUAGCGUAAAGAUAGGGAUAUCCAAAUGAGAUGAGAUAUUCAUGAAGGAGCUGCUGUCCGCCAUUGAGAACCCAAGAAUUUAGCCUCGAUAUCGGCAAUCAUUCACUGUACAUUUUUGUAAUAUAGUUAUCCCGUGGUAUUUAUGAAAGAUCCCUGAUAUAUGAAGGCUAUAAUAACAAGAAAACCCUCUACUUUUAUUCCUUGCUACACCCUCUUUCUCUCUCUUUAUUUUAUUUUUUCAGCGCAUACAAUCAGUAGACGAUUCUUUGAGUUAAUUCGAUCGACGUCUCCCGUUGGCGUAACCAGGUAGGGGCUAUAUGACGUGUGACGAUGUAGAUUUUCGGACCAUGCGUGGUAAGACACGUGUUGAUUUUGGGCGUGGCGAUGCAACGGGUGACGAUUUAACGCGUGGUGAUGCUAUGCGAAGUAGUCUAACGCGUGGUUAUAUGCGCGUGAUAAUGGAAUGCGUGGUGAUGCUACACGUGGUAAUUGUAUGCGUGGAGAUGCUACUCGUGGUAAUUGUAUGCGUGGUGAUGCUACACGUGGUGAUACAACGCGUGGUACUGCAAUGCGUAGUUGACCAACGCGUAGUAAUCUAACGUGUAGUAAUUCAGCACGCGACCAUCUAACGGUAAUCUAAUGUGUAGUAACUCAAUGGGUAAUAAUCUAUCGCGUAGUAAUCUAAUGCGCAGCAAUUCAACGGGUGGUAAUCUAUCACGUAGUAACCUAACGUGUGGUUAUUCAACGCGUUGCACUCUACCGCACAGUUACCAAACACGUGAUAAUUAUCUAACGCAUAGUAAUCCAGCGCGUAGUAAUCUGACGCGUGGCUAUACAUCAUAUGGCAAUAUCACGCAACCUGAAGACCCAAAGAAAUCCUAGUUACGCCAAUGACGUCUCUCCCACGGAGAUUGUUCAGAUCCUUAAUUGUUACGAUGAAGUAGAACGAUGAAUUAUAGCUGCAUAGCGAGAUGCAAUUUCGAGUAUCUGUUUUUUCUUUCUUUGUUUCUUUUAUUUCUUCGACGACGACGAUGGUCAAACGUUUCCUCGUGAUCGAUCGGAGAUAACUUGCUAUUGUGAAAUAUUGUAUGAUACGUGUCUCGUGUUACUGCAACAUGUAAUUUUACAUAUUAUCGAGAAUAAAUGUUUAUUAUAACGAGCGUA